UUUAUUUUUUCCUUCCCUCGUUUUAUUUUCGGUCCCACUUUUCUUUUUCGUUCCCUCGUUUUCUUCUCAUUCCCUCCGAUUUCUUCCCAAAACCAUAAACGAUUUCCUCCCAAAGCCCUAAUCGACCUUCUGUCGACUCAAAUCCCUCCUCCGCCCGAGAAAUCACCUCCACCACCAUCCACCUGCAUCGCCCCUCUUUGAAGACUGAAUUAUACUUGAAGGCUCGUCGUUUCCCUGCCAAUGCACUUCAAUCUGUUCGUUCAUCCUUGGCUGCUUCAUAUCAUAAACUCGAGCAAAUCUAAAUUAGUCAUCAUCAACUUCCAAUUUUGGCUUCUAAUAGCGUGCAUUUAAUAAGGGGCUCAAAUUCAAAACAUCAGCAAUCAUGAGUUUCAGAAUGUCUCGACCUAUUGUUGGUAUGUAUUUUUGUUUCAAUACUCUUGUAUUCUCUAUUCCUAUAUUCUUUGUAGGAUCCAUUUUUGACUUUUAGGUCAAGAAUAUAUCUAUUGAGUUAGGCGCUAUUGAGUUAGAAACACAUGACAUACAUAGGAACAAGUGCUUUAAAAUGGACAUUGUGGUGCCUACUUGUUCAUAAUUUAUUAGUAUUCCUUCACAAAGUUUUGAAUUUUCAAUGGCCUGUUGCUUAAAAUUUUGGAAAUGAAAUUAUGAUUUUUCAACAAGUUUAGGAAAAACCGAAAUUGAAUACUCUGAGGAGAAGAAGUAUAAGAUUUCCUUACCACAUGAUGUUAAGGUGAGUUUGUUGUUAGUUUAUCGAUUUAUUAUUUUGAACUACUGGUUUGAUUAACAAUGGGUGAUAUUUUGACAUAAUGAUUGGUGAAAGAGAUUUUUGAAGGAAAUGGUAGUUUGAUAUUGAGAAGACAAAAUAUUUGUGGGCUGAUAUGAUCAAAUGGAGGAAGGAUUAUGGUAGACACAACCAUGGACUGUUAAGAUUUACGUCUUCAAAAUGCGACAUUUCUAAAUACUCUGUACUUUUUACUUGGUUUAUUGAUUAGGGACUAAAAACAUGAACAAAAAUGCUAGUGAACUUAUCCAAUGCCUCCAGAACAUUGAUGGAAACAACUAUCCUGAGUGUCUCAAAUCCAUGAGAAAGAUAUUGCAUUGAUUCCAUUUCUUGGGAAACAUCUUGUCACCUAAUCCCAAAUGGUUGAACAAAAAAAGGGACCGGAGGUCUCUGAACUCAAGAAACAGUUAGAAGCUGCUCGACAAAAGGGUAUUACUGUUCAGGCAUUGGUUGCAAUUAAUCCGGGCAACCCAACAGGGCUGGUAAAAAAAUAAAAAUGCCUUUUAUUUACCAUUUUUAGUAAAAAUGGUAAAGUUACUUUUCACUCUUUUUGAUAUUUAAGAGGUUCUUGCUGAAGAAAACCAACGACAAAUUGUGGAAUUUUGCAAGAAAGAAGGUUUGGUAAAAAAAAAUACAAAAAUAUCUUAAAUAUAUUAUAAUUCAAGUUCAAAAGGGUAAAUUGGACAUUUUCCUAAACCAACUAUUGCAGGUAUACCAAGAGAUUUAACUCAUUCAAGAAAAUCUGUCGUUCAAUGGGAUAUGGUGACAAAGACAUCCCCUUGGUUUCUUUUCAAUCCGUAUCUAAAGGUAUAUAUAAAAGAUUAAUGACGUAAAUUCAAAUUGUUGAAUUUAUAUAAAACUUUGGUUUUUUUUUUUAAAAAAAAAGUGUAUCAUGGUGAAUGUGGGAAAAGAGGUGGUUAAAUGGAGGUAAUUGGUUUUAGUACUGAAGUUAGACAACAAUUUUACAAAUUGGCAUCUGUGAAUCUUUGCUCCUAUAUCUCUGGUCAAAUUCUUGCAAGUCUUGUCAUGAUUAGUAGUUUUCCUUGCAUGGGUGAGAAUUGUGUUUUUUCUUUAAUGUAUUUUUUAUAAAAACUGUUAUACGACUCACAAUUAAUACAAUUAAUACAGGAACAAAGAAUGUGGGUAAGUUAAAAAACAUUUUACACUAUUCUCUGUAUUCCCAUGGUCUUUUAUUCAUUGAUCAGACAGAUGAUUCAUCCAUGGAUGAGUGCUUUAUUCAUGGUCUUGACAGGAGAAGUGGGAUCAACUUAAUUCAUAAUGUUGUUUACAAUUGUGGAUCAAAAUACAUAAACUAUAGUGGCUUAUUGGAAAGGGGUGAUGAAAUGAUAUGUGUUGCAUCCGUCAGGUUUUGAGCAUAAAAUAUCAUAACCAGCUCCUCGAAAUGAUCGAUGCCAGUCAAUUUUGGUGGUAGAUGGUCCAUAAUGGUCAACACAGAUGUUCAAAGAAUCAAAAUCGCAGAAGAGAAGACAAUUUCUGAACACCAGUUCCUAAACACGGAAAAAGUAAGUGGUACUUGGUUCGCCUAAUUCAAUGGAAUUUAACAGGAAUCGGAAUCCAAUUCCAUUCCGACCCUUCUUUCGGAUGCAAGAUAUGAAGUAAUGGAGAAGAUUUAUGCGGAAAUGCAAAAUU